GUAUGUAAGUAUGCCAUUUUACCCGAGUACUAAGUGGGCCAUUUUGCCCAUUUUCGAUUUUUUUAGUUUUAUACCGAAAAAUCUAAAACCGUUCAAAGCCAACUUAUUUCAGUAAAUUAAUAAGAAAUACUUCAUGCAUACAAUGUUUUUUAUUCUUUAUUUUGCAAAAAAAAAUUUAACAAAAUUUCAAAGAGUGUACUUUUUGAGGUGGCUAGAGACAGUUUGACUUGUCAAAUUUCUAAUAAUGGCUUUAAGUUGCUAAAGUUUCGUAUAUGUCAGUUUUGCCAGAUGAACUAAAGAAUCGCAUUCAUAAAACCUUUUAAUUUUAUGUUCGAUUCUAUAAUUUCUAUUAAGGGGGCCAUUUUAGGCCACUUUAGGACGUUUCGUAACUGGCAAAAAUUUAAAUUCCAUUCAUUGAAUGUAAGCAGAGCUAUGAAGUUUUAUGGGCAGCCAUGGUAAUUGAGUUAAAAAUUCAUAGCGAAAAACAAAAUUUUGUAAAUCCCCUUAUCAAAAGUUCAUCUUAAAACAAAACUCCUUUUGAAAUUCACCUGUUAAACAUUAGCAUAUUAUUCAAUCGACAAUACUUUGAGUUUGUUUACUUCCAGUGGCUACUGUUUCUGUUUCAUAUGCGUAUAAUUUAACCCUACAUUUUGUUUCCCUCUAGAAUAAUCUAGCUCACCAGCAUGCAGAUACAAUACAUUGUGGUAGAAACUAGAUACAAUAAUUCAUCGUUGUUAUUAGCAGACCUUCCUCUCUAUGUUUCUAUUCUGUAUCUGUACCUAUACAAAAAAAUUUGAAAAAAAAAAUAUCUCGCAGCCAGACUGGAGCACAAGCUCCAACAUAGAUUAUGGCGGAGGAGGUAGAGAUAUGUCUGCUGCUGUUUCGACUGCCAUAGUUUCAUAUUGGUUGGACGCUUGCAUGAAUUCUCAAAAUGUAUCUUUCAAUUAAUUCACUUUGAGAGCUCUAGCACGUCGGCUGUCGUUGUCGAUUAUCAUUUUGAUUCCCAUAAUACACCUCUAUAGAACUCCGAAUAGUACCUUUAUUUGUGUCGUAUAUGCCUCGUGCCUUGUACCUUGCAUCGGUUGUGUUGAAGUAGCUCGAGGAUUUAUCAUCUUAAUCGGCGUGGAAAUUGUUUUUAUCCGAUCGGUCGGUCGGUGUAGAGCUCAGAAAGUUGUUUCAAUAAAAUUGGCUGGUGUUUGUUUGUGUUGGAAUAUCGACGUCGUCGUCGUCAUCGACGUCAUAGUGUGUUUUGUUUACUUGUUUGUUUGUUUUUCGAUAAAGAAUUUCCUGGCGGUGCAUCCUUAAGGAUUAAAAGAGUAUAUACAAGUGCGCGGUUUGUAUCAAAAUUUUGUAUUCUCUCUUUGAGUUGGAUGGAAAUUUGGUACCUACAAGAAACCAUUAUGAAUCAUCAAUAAAUAAAAAGACUAUAAACAAAAAAAAAAAAAAAUUAAUUUUUGAUUGUAAAUUCGAAUGAAUAAAUAAAAAUAAAAAU